GAUGAACGCUGGCGGCGUGCCUAAUACAUGCAAGUCGAGCGAACGGACGAGAAUCUUGCUUCUCUGAUGUUAGCGGCGGACGGGUGAGUAACACGUGGAUAACCUACCUAUAAGACUGGGAUAACUUCGGGAAACCGGAGCUAAUACCGGAUAAUAUUUUGAACCGCAUGGUUCAAAAGUGAAAGACGGUCUUGCUGUCACUUAUAGCUGGAUCCGCGCUGCAUUAGCUAGUUGGUAAGGUAACGGCUUACCAAGGCAACGAUGCAUAGCCGACCUGAGAGGGUGAUCGGCGACACUGGAGCUGGAACACGGUCCAGGGUCCUAGGGGAGGCAGCAGUAGGGAAUGUUCGGCAAUGGGCGGAAGCCUGACGGAGCGGCGCCGCGUGAGUGCUGAAGGUCUUCGGAUCGUAAAACUCUCUUAUUAGGGAAGAACAUAUGUGUAAGUAACUGUGCACAUCUUGACGGUACCUAGUCAGAAAGCACCGGCUAACUACGUG
rnacentral:rRNA from 1 species